UACAGAGGUCCCAAGCGUUGUUCGGAUUCACUGGGCGUAAAGGGUGCGUAGGCGGUCAGAUAAGUCUGAUGUGAAAUCUUCGAGCUCAACUCGGAAACUGCAUCGGAAACUAUCUGGCUAGAGGAUUGGAGGGGAGACUGGAAUUCUCGGUGUAGCAGUGAAAUGCGUAGAUAUCGAGAGGAACACCAGUGGCGAAGGCGAGUCUCUGGACAAUGCCUGACGCUGAGGCACGAAAGCUAGGGGAGCAAACGGG
rnacentral:rRNA from 1 species